CCUCAGGAGGGCCCAGGCUGCUGGGCAGUGUGGAUGUGUUUUAUUAGUGUUGUGCGGUAUUCGGCGUGGUCCUUAGAACUCGCCGCCUGAGCUUAUUUCGUGAACGGCUUCUGUUCCUCGGGGUACCGGACUUACUGUGCUCCUAGCUUCACCCAGUUUCCCGAUGGUGCUUUGAGCUGAGCAACUUUCCUCCACUGGGCCCUUACCCCCGAUAUGCUGCCUCACCUGAGGUUCAGAGCAAUGGAUUUGGCUGUUUAUGGACUGCGAUCUCUUAAAACAUGAUCGCUGUAUAAACUUUUCCUGCUAUCUUUAUUGUAGGCCUUAGAUUCGUGGUGACUAGAAGGAUAUUUUAAGACAACUGAAAGUCUCUGGCUGGAGAUACUCUGCUGGGACUGAAACUCUUGAUUGAGACUCAGAUCCUCCAGACCCUAGAGAACCUCGGUGGUCCUGAGUCAGGUUACCCCUUCUCUCUGGGAACCCUUCUUCAGAGACAUCCCCUCUUCUGCGAUAACCUCUAUCUCUGGACCAACCAAACGUUGUGGGACCUCACUCAAGUCUCAAAUCAGUGGGAACUUGAAUUCACAUUUAAGCUUGCUCAAAUUUGGCUAUUGUGAGCUCUGGAAGUUUGUUCCUGUGUUCCUUUGAUAUAUUCCUAUCAACAAGGGAAGAACUGAGAACCUGUGUUGCUUCUUCAAGACCAAAUCUGCCAACCACUUCAGUGGGAAGGACAUGGAUCAAGGGCAAGUAAAACACCACAAAACAUCCUAUUAUUUUAAAGGAAACAUUGCAAAGAACCACCCUCCCCCUGUUACUUGGAUAAGACCUCCUUGUUUACCUACAGACGCAGACCCUCCAAAUUCCCAUUCUUUGCCUCCCAAGUGAUUAGAUAAACUGUACUCGCUGACAAAUCAGGACAAUAUACCUGCUCCCUUGAUUUGACUAAAGUUAGUUAAGUUUUUCUGCUUACCCCAGGCCCUUUAAUUUUGACCCAUCCUUGGUUGAGCCAACACACAAUGACUCUUUAAUGGCUCAUUUCUUAGGGGGGAAAAAUUCACUGUCCAAUCCCCAUACUAUUUCAUUCCAGUUCUCCCCUCCUAGUUCUUUCCGUCCUUGUUCAUUUCUCCUUACAAAAGAACAGCUAACAAUUUAAAUUUAAUUAAAAAAGGAUAGAGAACUGUGUCCUUAAAAGAACAGGAGAGUAGGAUACAGACAUGCAUGUGCAUAGAAGAAUGACCAUGUUUGAGCACAGUUGGAAACUGGACAUCUGCAAGCCAUGAAAAGAGGACUCAGAAAAAACCAAACCUACCAACAUCUGGAUCUCUGUCCUCAAGAACUGUGAGCAAAUAAAAUUCUGUUGUUUAAGCCA